UACGAAGGGGGCUAGCGUUGCUCGGAAUUACUGGGCGUAAAGGGCGCGUAGGCGGAUAGUUUAGUCAGAGGUGAAAGCCCAGGGCUCAACCUUGGAACUGCCUUUGAUACUGGCUAUCUUGAGUUCGGGAGAGGUGAGUGGAAUGCCGAGUGUAGAGGUGAAAUUCGUAGAUAUUCGGCGGAACACCAGUGGCGAAGGCGACACACUGGGCCAUUACUGACGCUGAGGCGCGAAAGCGUGGGGAGCAAACAGG
rnacentral:rRNA from 1 species